CUCUGCAAGUUAUGGAGCUUUGACCCCAAUUCUAAAGGGAUUGUUCCCGUUAACCGAUUCUCAAACAGUGUAAUGUGACGCAGGGCAGUGCAAUUACUGAUGGAUGCAGCUUGGUUAGAUUCGAAAGAAACGAUGGUAUAGCUCCAGUGAGGCUGUUCUGAGAGAGACAUAGGUAUGUCAAGUUUGUCAUUUGGCCCAGUACAGCAGGAAUGCUUCCAGUCAGAUUGGUAUAGUCCAAGUCUAUUGUCUCCAGGCUCCAGCAGCCUUUUAUUGAGGCUGGAAUAUUGCCCCCAAGCUUAUUACGACUCAUGUUUAUGAAUGUUAACUCAGAAAGCUCUCCAAUGGUAGCUGGAAUCCCUCCGUACAAGCUGUUGGCUUGCAAAGAGAGGGUGGUGAGAUGGGAUAGAUUGGAUAUGUAUGGUGAGAUAACUCCCUCUAAGCGCAUGUUUAUGAGCUCAAUGGCUAUGACCCGGUUCUUAAGCUGCUGGUGGCAUGUAAUCCCUGUCCAGUUGCAGAAGAACAUGGUUUCAUUCCAAUCUUGGAGAUGACCAUCUGGAUCACCUGUUAUGCCUUGUUUGAAUUUGAGCAGAGAUUGACAAUCAGUGGAGUUUUUGCAGAGGAAUGUGGAAGUUGAUAGUAGAGCAAGAAAACUAAGAGAGAAAAAUACUGCCACAGCAACGGGAUUGUUCUGAUUGUAUGCCAUUCUCUCUCUCUCUCUCUCUCACUGUGUGUGUGUACAACUUUUGGAAGAAGAUGUUAGAUUUUAGGCCAGGAUUUUUUUCUCACUUGUUAGGUAGUAGUUUAAAUAGAUGGGCUCAGUUGUUCAAAUGGUUCAGACAACUUGGCCUAGUGAGGGGCAGGUGGUGAGCCCUCAUUUAUCACUGGGACCAUAGAUUAGGUAUAGCCAUCACCUGUCUGGGCCCCCCAGUCUCUUAACUACAUUCAAUCCCUUCAAUGCUGUUUGACAUUUUCUUCCAUGACAGAAUUAAUAGCUAUGGAGUUUCCCAAAAUUUGCUCCAAA